UCAAUAUAAGUUGAUUUUAUUAUUUGUUUAUUGAUUUUUAAAUUUGUUGAAUUUAUUAUAUUAAAAAUAAUUAUUUAAAUUUUUGGUUUUAGUAAUUUUUAAUGAAAAGAUAAUAUUAAUUUUAGUUAAUUAGUACUGUAAAGGGUAAUUGAAAUAUUUUGAAAAAUUUUUAUUUUAUUAGAAGGUUUAAUUUGUCGUACCUUGUGUAUCAGGGUAUAUCUAUUAAAUAAUAAUUAUUUAUUAUUCUCGGUUUUAUAAGAGUUAAUGGAUUAUAAAAUUUAAUGUAACAAAAUUAUUUUUUAUAAUUUAUUGGAAAUGAGAUGUUAUCGUUUAUAAAGGUAUCUAGUUUUUUCAGAAAUAAAUUUAAUUUAUUAAUAUUUAAUUUUUGGAUUUUUUUUUCAAUUUAAAAAUUUAUUUAUUAAAAUAUUUUAAGGGAUUAGCUUUAAAAUAGAUUGUUAAAAAUAUUUAUUUUAUUGAUUAUUAUGUAUGUGUAGAAUUAGCAAUUAUUAAUAAGUUUAUUAUAAAUUAUUUGCUUUAAUUUUAUAAUAUUUAUUUUAUUUUAAUUAUUUAUGAAAAUUCUUUUAAUAAUUUAAGUAAAAGGUAAUAAUGAUAUAAUUAGUAUAUAGUUUUGUUUAAUAAGAAUGUAUGAAAGGUUUAUUUAAGGAAUUCGGCAAAAUAUAAUUUGAUUUUUAUUGUACCCGCCUGUUUAACAAAAACAUGUCCUUUUGAGUUUAUUUAAAGGUCUGACCUGCCCAAUGAUUUAUAUUGAAUGGCCGCAGUAUUUUAACUGUGCAAAGGUAGCAUAAUCAUUAGUUUUUUAAUUGAAAAAUGGAAUGAAUGGUCGAACGAGGUAUAAACUGUCUCAUUUAAAUUUAUAUUAGAAUUUUAUUUUUUAGUAAAAAAGCUAAAAUUUUGUUAAAAGACGAGAAGACCCUAUAAAGCUUUAUAUUAAAAUGAAUGUAAUAUAUGAUUUAUAUUGAUUUUAAUAUUGCAUUGGGGUGAUGUUAAAAUUUAUGAAACUUUUAAUUAUUUAUUUAUCAUUAAUUUUUGAGUUUAUGAUCUGGUAAUAGCAAUUAUAAGAUUAAGUUACUUUAGGGAUAACAGCGUAAUUUUUUUGGAGAGUUCUUAUCGAUAAGAAAGAUUGCGACCUCGAUGUUGGAUUAAGGAUUAAUUUAGGUGUAGUUGCUUGAAUAUUAAGUCUGUUCGACUUU
rnacentral:rRNA from 1 species